AGAGCGAACGCUGGCGGCAGGCCUAACACAUGCAAGUCGAGCGCCCGUAGCAAUACGGGAGCGGCAGACGGGAUAGUAACACGUGGGAACGCGCCCUUCGGUUCGGAAUAACUCAGGGAAACUUGAGCUAAUACCGGAUACGCCCUUACGGGGAAAGAUUUAUUGCCGAAGGAACGGCCCGCGUCCGAUUAGCUAGUUGGUGAGGUAAUGGCUCACCAAGGCGACGAUCGGUAGCUGGUCUGAGAGGAUGACCAGCAUCACUGGGACUGAGACACGGCCCAGACUCCUACGGGAGGCAGCAGUGGGGAAUAUUGGACAAUGGGCGCAAGCCUGAUCCAGCCAUGCCGCGUGGAUGAUGAAGGCCUUAGGGUUGUAAAGUCCUUUUAACGGGGAAGAUAAUGACGGUACCCGUAGAAUAAGCCCGGCUAACUUCGUGCCAGCAGCCGC
rnacentral:rRNA from 1 species